rnacentral:other from 1 species
CACAAAAGGAGGGAGGGAGGGAUGGAGGAGGGAUCGAGAGCCAGAACUUCCUUCACCUUCGGGAGUAUUGGGCGGAGUGGGGGGCUUGGAGGGGCGAUUGGGGAACCGGACUGGAGGGGGCGCCCGCUGCCAGACCCCCCAGUCUGCUCCGCUUGCCCACCCUCUCCCGGUGUGUCUGUCGGUUGCAGUGUUGGAGGUUGGUGCGGGUCCCCGCCUUCCGCGCCCCCCACGGGAAAGAAGCACCCUCGGUAUUAAAACGAGCUGAGCGGAAAGAAGCCUACAGUCGCCCGCCCGGAGGCGAGCCGAUGCCGAGCUGCUCUACGUCCAUCAUG